rnacentral:rRNA from 1 species
GAUGAACGCUGGCGGCGUGCCUAAUACAUGCAAGUCGAGCGAACAGACGAGGAGCUUGCUCCUCUGACGUUAGCGGCGGACGGGUGAGUAACACGUGGAUAACCUACCUAUAAGACUGGGAUAACUUCGGGAAACCGGAGCUAAUACCGGAUAAUAUAUUGAACCGCAUGGUUCAAUAGUGAAAGACGGUUUUGCUGUCACUUAUAGAUGGAUCCGGGUCGGAUUAGCUAGUUGGUAAGGUAACGGCUUACCAAGGCGACGAUGCGUAGCCGAACUGAGAGGGUGAUCAGUCACACUGGAACUGAGACACGGUCCAGACUCCUACGGGAGGGAGCAGUGGGGAAUAUUGGCCAAAGGGGGAAAGCCUGAUCGAGCCAUGCCGCGUGUGUGAAGAAGGUCUUCGGAUUGUAAAGCCCUUUAAGUUGGGAGGAAGGGAAGUAAGUUAAUACCUUGCUGUUUUGACGGUACCAAAAGAAGAAGCACCGGCUAACUUCGUG